CCUGAUCCUGAGUUGAGAGACAAGGUUCUUGAUGAGUUGGAGAUCUACAAAAGUGCAGAGGGGAGACUCUUCUCAUCACAACUAGCAAUUGAUAGGAGAGGAAAACAACAACCAGAUUUAUGGUGGGAGAAUUAUGGUGCUGGCACGCCUAAUCUUCAAAAGAUAGCCGUCCGUGUUUUGUCUCAGCCAUGCAGUGCUUCUGGGUGUGAACGAAAUUGGACUGUAUUUGAGAGCAUUCACACAAAGAAGAG